rnacentral:lncRNA from 10 species
CUAGACUUUCUAUUCUGUUCUGUGUCAUUUGACUAUUGAGGAAAGUUCUCUCAUAAUCAAAUGAAAUCAUAUUAAUACAUCCCAAUCAUGUUGCAGAUUCACCUAUGCUGUCUUAACAGAGUAUAAUAACAGAAACUUGGAAAAUAUUUCAAGGACACAUGAACAUUUUUAUAAACACAUGACUCUGUUGGGAUUGGAAGAUUACACCCUAGCAACUCAAACAGCCUCCCAAUGUACAGAAAGAUUACCUUCAAAAAAGAAUGCACAGAAACUAAAUUAUCUGAAGAGUGUUCCUUGCUGUGUUUGGAAAGCCAUAUGUAGCUCAGUUUGUGAAACCUAUGGGAUGAAAAUAGAAAGCAGGAGAAAGCCAUCCAGGAGGCAUGAGGAGGGACACUAUUCAGAGGCCUAUGUGAUAAGCAACUGAGACCUCUUGUCAACAGCCAUGUAAGAGAGCCAUCUUAGAAGUGGAUCCUCCAGCCCCAAUCAAGCCUGCAGAUGAUUGCAGCCACAGCCAACUUCUUGACUGAAACUUCAUGAGAGACCCUGAGCUAGGACCAUCCAACUGAGGUGUUCCUGCUUUCCUGACUGCCAGAAAAUGUGUUAGAUGAUAAAUGUUUGUUGUUUUAAGCUGCAUAGUUUUGGGAUAAAUAGUUAUGCUGCAAUAGAUAACUAAUACACUCUUGUGGCUCUUAAGUUUUCAUAUUAAUAGUGGAGUUACCUUCCUAAGAAAGAAAAAAAAUUAUCCAUUUUCCAACAUUCUACGAUUUAGCACUUCUCAUGUUGCAUUGUGAUAAUCUCACUAAUGUAUUUCUCUAUUUAGUACAGAACUUGAUGAAUAAUAACUUUUUAAAGAAUUGAAAUAUGGAGCAAAAAGCAUGGAGGAAAGGAUAUAUGGAUUAUAUUUAAAUAACAGUUUGACUAGAUUAUGGAGGAGUAAUUGGAUAUUCCUUGAAUAAUUCAAUAUGAAGAUAUGAUGUACAGAUUAUCAAAUAUGAGAAGGGAGGGAUUUGUAACAAAAUUUAAUUUAAGUGCAAGAAUUUGUGUUAUUUCUGUCAUCCAGGAGGGAAGAAGAGGUACUUGAGGAAAUAUGUCAAAGCAUUAGUUACUUGGCUGGAAAAUGUAAGAUAGGGAAAGAAAGAGGGGUGUGAGUGUGUGUGUGUGUGUUCUUGGUACAGGAUAGAAACAGAAGUAUAAAGAAAAGACAACAUAGGAAUCUUACGCCAGGUAUUGAUAAAGUGAAAAUUACAGAUGAAUGCUUUAAAAAACUGUGAAUGCCAGAGACUAAUUUUUCUAUUUUUGAAUCUAGCAAAUUAAGCAGCAGCAAAUGAGAGAAAAAGCAUGGUUAUUGAAGAUCAACAAACUGGUUUGAAUCCCAGCUUGCCACCUUUUGGCUGUGUGGUAUUAGGGAAGUUAAUUAAUCUGUAUGAAUUACAAUUGUGUAUUUUAAAGAUAUAUUUAAAAAAAACAAUACUUUCUUUCCAGGAUAAAUGUAAUGAAGUUUAGCAUAUAGAAAGGUCCUUGCAUGGUGCUAGGCACCUGAGUGUUCAUACCAGGGAAGGUCAAUGAACCCCCCACAGCACUAUCUAUCCUGGUCUACAUGUGAUUGUGAAACUCUGAUUCAUAUUCUAGACCUAUUAAACAAAUGCACAGAUUUAUUUAAAUUGAUGUAUUCACUUAUUCAUGUAAAACGUGCUAUAAAAAGAACUUCACCAAAGGAGUUUGGCAGAGCUCAUUCUGAAAUUUUAGUGCUGUUGGAUUUUUUAUAGGAAGUGGUCAUUAUUAGUGCCUCAAUUUCUAAAUUAUACAGCUGAUAAUUCUACUAUCCCUUGUGUUUAUGGUGCUUUUCAGUCUUGUAUCUUUUGAUGGCUUUCCACUUUAUUCUUGCUGCCUGUGAGUCUAGACUAGUCAUCUCUGAGCUCUUUAAUAUACUGAUAGAAAGGUUAGAUGACCUCGUCUCACAAUCAUAACUUAAGUCUCAGGAAUGGUGGUGUUUGUUCUUAAAAACCCUAUUACUCUAAUGAGACUCACCCAGGAUUUUUGAAUUAAAUACCACUACGUUUAUUUAGUAGAGAAUAUUUUUUAAAGUUUUCAUUUCCUAUAAUGCAUAAAACCUGUCCAUUAUUUUAUGUAUGUAUACAGAGAAUUUGAUUUCUCCCUAUUUACAUAAUUUUUAGAAAGCUAUUUGUCAAAUUAUAAUUUAAGAGUACUGAAACUACAUAUUAAGAUUGACUUAGGAUCAAUGAGCCAUUAUAAAAACAACACAUGAGCUGUAGUUCUUUAUAAGAGAGAAGCAAUUCAACACCUUAUAUUUCAGCUUCCUGCAAUGAUAUAACAAAAUCAGCUUGUGAAACUUUAUGCUUAUAGUGGGCUGGAUAUAUGAAAAUGAACUCACAAAUUCUUUUCAGUGUGUGGUGAUUGAAAUUUACUACUGAUUAUCAAGUACACAAUUUUUUGGCAAGGAAAAGGUUAAUGACUUCUCUCGCUUGCCUCUGGGAGAAGUAGAAGGUCCUUUUUUUACUUUAUCAUAGAGUCAUAUCUUGGAAUCUACCCAUGCCUCUCUGUGAUACAAAUUGGAUUUUUAUAUAAUUUUCCCCCAAAAUUCUGUUUAUAGCUUAAUGUAAAAAAGAAAAAGAAACUAAUAGGGUGGUAUGGGUUGGGGAGGGAGAUUUUUCUCCUGGCUUUCUCUUUUUAUUAGCCAUCAUAAAUGCUGUUGUUUUUUUUUAAAAUCCACAAUUCAUAACCAGGAGCAAUAACAUAAAAAUCAAUAAGCAAGGAGCUAGGGUUUUGCCAGCCAUCCCAAAGAAUUUAAGCCUUUUUUUCACUUCUAGUUUAGAAGAUGCCAGUUGAAGGCUAAAUCAAUGCCUGCUAUGUGACUUUUUUGCACUAUUUGCUGAGGUAAAAGAAAGAAUUGUGCUUUAUUUUGUUGGUACCUUCUGUCAAGCAAGACUGGAAAAUCCCCAAAUAGGCAAGUGUCUCCCUUUCACUUCCUAAAAGGUCUGAUAUGGUUAUUCCUUGCUUCGUUGUUAAUCUUUGUAAAACAUUAACUGAAGACUCAUUUAGAUAUAAUUUCUUCCCAGGAUGUUUAUAAAAUCUCCCUGGUCCCAGUGCUUAAAAAAACAGACUUUGCUGUCAAAAGGUUCAGGUCUAAUGGCAGCUCCACCUCUAGCCAGUGUGAUGAGCUCCUGUUAUUACUAUUUCCUCAUCUAUAAACAAAGAUUAUUUCUAUUUCCACAUCAUAAACUUGUUGUGAAAGUGAACCAAGAUUAUAUAUUAAAAACAUUAAAAACUCAAUCUCAUCAGGGCAACCACUUUCUCCUCUCCAUCAUCCACCCUCAAUAAAUGCUUUUUUCUUGCUUUCCUCUCACUCUUCUCAAACUGCUCAAGUUGUAUUUCUAUUACUUGGAGCCAAAAGUGACCUUACAAAGACAAAUUUUGCAAGGAAAAAAAAAAUGAAGGGAAUAAAUGUAUGUAAAGGUUCUAAAACAGGAUGCACAAAGAGUUUUUACUACUAAAUUUACUAGUGCAUAUUGUCAAGACUUUCGAUUAAAUUUAAAUAGAAUUGUACCAUUCAUUUACUGAAUUGCUUUAACUUCUUAUUAUAUUUGCUCUGCUAUUAUAUUGUUAUGGUAGUGCUUUUGUUUUUAUAGUAAAUAAUAAAUCAU